AUGGGGCUUGGAGCAAACUGGGAUGGUGAAAGGUGUCCCUGCCCAUGGCAGAAUGUUGGAAUUAAAGAUCUUGAAGGUCCUUUUUUGCCCAAACUAUUUCACAAUUCCAUGGCCUGGCUGCUCUGGAUUGCCCCAGACUUUCCAUCAAGGUGGGGACAGGGAGGGCAGGAGGUGACAACACCCAAAACUGGUGGUCCAGGGACCCUGUGGAUGGUGAAUAGUGACAUGGAAAUUUGUUUUCAAACAAACCCAGCCUGGCCUUGAACACUUCCAGGGAUGGAAGGAAGGCAUGGGAUGGUUUCUGCAGCCAUUUCUUCACCACCUUGGCCUCAACACAGGACACAGGAGAUGCCUCAGACAGUGUUAUUGUUUUUUGUUUUUGUUUUUUGUUUUUGUUUUUGUUGGAAUUAAAUGCAC
rnacentral:lncRNA from 12 species